rnacentral:rRNA from 1 species
AUUGAACGCUGGCGGCAUGCCUUACACAUGCAAGUCGAACGGCAGCACGGGGGCAACCCUGGUGGCGAGUGGCGAACGGGUGAGUAAUGCAUCGGAACGUGCCCAGUAGUGGGGGAUAACUAGUCGAAAGAUUAGCUAAUACCGCAUACGACCUACGGGUGAAAGCGGGGAUGCAGCACUUAAUGCUUUGGGAUGGCUACUUGUGGCCGCCUCGGGACAGUCUCAGGUUGAGAACAUUAAGUGCUGCACCUCGCGCUAUUGGAGCGGCCGAUGUCUGAUUAGCUAGUUGGCGGGGUAAAAGCCCACCAAGGGCGACGAUCAGUAGCUGGUCUGAGAGGACGACCAGCCACAC